ensembl:snoRNA SNORA74 Small nucleolar RNA SNORA74
CCCAACUGUAGGCAACUGCCUAGGUUGCCUUGUACCUAGGCAAGUGUUCAACUGCUGGCAGAAAAGUAGCCAAUAGCUGAUAGGAAUUCUGGGCCUGGUUAAUGCCAAACUGGUGUUAACUAU